AUGGACGCCGGUGCUCUAGCUGGGUGUUUGAGAGACAAGAGCGUCCUCAUCACAGGCUCAACUGGAUUCCUCGGAAAAUUAUUCGUCGAGAAGAUAUUGAGGGUUCAGCCCGCUGUCAAGAAGAUCUACCUGCUGGUGCGCGCCUCCCAUCGUGCGUCUGCCGAGCAGCGUGUCAUGUCCGAGGUCACUGGAGAGGCAGUCUUCGAUAUCCAGCGUGAAAAAUACGGUCCCGUUGGCUUCCAAAACUUCAUCAAAGAAAAGGUAGUUCCUAUAGACGGAGAUAUCAUGCAUGACAACCUCGGUCUUGAUAGUGCUCAAGUGUGAGUCUUGACGAAAGAAGUUGAUGCUAUCAUCAAUGGAGCUGCCACAACUAACUUCUAUGAAAGGUACAUAUAG
rnacentral:rRNA from 1 species